rnacentral:rRNA from 1 species
CAGCAGCCACGGUAAUACGUAGGUCCCGAGCGUUGUCCGGAUUUAUUGGGCGUAAAGGGAGCGCAGGCGGUUUAGUAAGUCUGAAGUUAAAGGCUGUGGCUUAACCAUAGUACGCUUUGGAAACUGUUUAACUUGAGUGCAAGAGGGGAGAGUGGAAUUCCAUGUGUAGCGGUGAAAUGCGUAGAUAUAUGGAGGAACACCGGUGGCGAAAGCGGCUCUCUGGUCUGUAACUGACGCUGAGGCUCGAAAGCGUGGGGAGCGAACAGGAUUAGAUACCCCGGUAGUCCCUGUCUCUUAUACA